AUCUACGCUAUUACAAUGUCAUUAGUGGAUGCCUAGGAAGUAUUGACCUAAGAAGGACGCUUUAAGGCUCGCGAAACUCGUCGGGGAGAGGCCUAUAACUCUUUGAUCCGAUGGUGUCCGAAUGGGGAAACCCAACUCGAUGCAAAGUCGAGUUAACCUUGUCAUAAAAGUGACCCGCCGUAAGGUGGGAUAUAUAGUGGCGGGUAGGGAACCCGGUGAACUGAAACAUCUAAGUAGCCGGUGGAAAAGAAAUUACAGAGAUUCCCUUAGUAGCGGCGAGUGAAAAGGGAAGAGUUCAAACUACAUUUCGCAAGAAAAGUAGUGUUGUAGGACGACUUGCUUAAAUGCAAAGGAUAAAAAGUUAGAUAGAAGAAGGCGCUGGAAUUGCGCCACCAUAGAAGGUGAUAGUCCCGUAAACAAAAUUUAACUUUUGCCUCGUCUGUUCCUGAGUACCAUGGGGCACGAUUAAACCCUGUGGGAAGCUGGGGCGACCAAGCUCCAAAACUAAAUAUCAAUACUUACCGAUAGUGAACUAGUACCGCGAGGGAAAGGUGAAAAGCAGUCCGGGAGGACGAUGAAAGAGUACCUGAAACUAAUGACUGACAAGCAGUCAAAGUACUACGGCCGCAAGGCCUCAGUAUGAUGACGUGCCUAUUGAAGAAUGAGCCAGUGAGUUUUUACUAACUUCUAGUCUAACCAAGUAAUCUUGGGGAGGCAGAGUGAAAGCGAGCCCUAAUCGGGCGUCAGAAGAUAGUAAAAGACCCGAAACCAUGUGAGCUAACCAUGACCAGGGUGAAUGUUACCGAGAGGUGACAGGAGGCCCGAACUCGUGUCCGCAGCAAUGGGCUGAGAUGAGUUGUGGUUAGGGGCAAUAUGCCCAACGAACUUGGAGAUAGCUGGUUCUCCCUGAAAUAUAUUUUGGUAUAGCCUUAAUAAUUACGCAGUGGGGGUAGAGCACUGAAUGGUCUCUGGUGACGCAAGUCAUCAGGAUCAAUCAAACUCCGAAUACCGCUGUAUUAUUAUAUUAAGAGUCAGUCCUGCGGCGCUAAGGUCGUGGGUCGAGAGGGAAACAACCCAGACUCCCGUGUAAGGCCUCUAAAUUCAAGCUAAGUUGUUAAGAAAGUCAUGAUCCUUAGACACCUAGGAGGUUGGCUUAGAAGCAGCCAUCCUUUAAAGAAAGCGUAACAGCUCACUAGUCGACUUUGGAUUGUGGCGUCGAAAAUGAUCGAGGAUUAAGCUUGAUGCCGAAAACGGAGAUUUCGUAAGAAAUAGUAAGGGAGCGUUCUAUUUGCUGUGAAGCUGAACUGUAAGGUUUGGUGGAGCGGAUAGAAGUGAGAAUGCUGGCAUGAGUAGCGAUUAUGCACCUGAGAAUGGUGCACGCCGAAUACCCAAGGUUUCCUUCGCAAUGUAAGUCAGCGAAGGGUUAGUCGGCUCCUAACGGUGGCCCGUGUUAAACGCGGGGUAGCCGGAUGGACGACACGUUAAAAUUCGUGUACAGGGUUUAGUGCGUUAUUACCUGGGGAUUGACCAGGGUGGAAAGAGUCGGUCGCCGUGAGGUGACUUUAAGCCGCUAAAUAGUUUGAGUCGGAAAAUCCGCUCAGGUGUUUAAUUGAGCGGCAAAUACAAGUCUGAAACGCAAGAAGUAGGACAAGGACUUUGUUUUCAGCCUGCAAGAAAAGGUUCACAGGGAGUACUAAGUCUUGCCGUACCGCAUUACCGACACAGGUGGGUUGGUACAAGAAUACCAAGGCGAUCGGGAGAAGAAUGUUCAAGGAACUCGGCAAAAAAGCUAGGCGUAACCUUUGGGAGAUGCCUUACCACGAUUAAUCUUGUGGUCGCAGCAAAAGUUUAUUAUGCAACUGUUUAUCUAAAACACAGGCCCCUGCAAAACCGAAAG
rfam:Candidatus Levybacteria bacterium RIFCSPHIGHO2_01_FTLL_40_10 rifcsphigho2_01_scaffold_53360, whole genome shotgun sequence.